rnacentral:rRNA from 1 species
AUGGCUAAACCAAGUGCAGGAGAUUCUGAAACACAAGGUUGUGAAAACAGUGCUGAUUCUAGCCUCGAGGUACUCGAAAGGGAGUAUGCGCAAGGUGUUCUGAUCAGCGAGGUUGUGUUGAACAACGGCAACUCAGAAACAUCCAAAAAUGCGAGACGUCGUCGGCAGAGCAAGGCGGCGAAGGAUGUCAAAAGGCCUGGAGAGACGAUAAUCAAAGGGCACAGGAGCUAUGAUCUAAUGCUCAGCCUACAGCUUGGAAUCAGGUACACAGUUGGAAAGAUUACACCGAUUCAGGCGCGUGAAAUGAGAACUUCUGAUUAUGGCCCCAGAGCAUGUUUCUGGAUGAACUUCCCCAUAACAGGGUCACGGCUUACUCCUGCGCAUCAUGCAGUAGAUUUUAAGUGGAAAGACUAUUGCCCAAUGGUUUUCCGAAACUUGAGGGAUAUGUUCAAGAUUGAUACAACAGAUUAUAUGAUAUCCAUUUGCGGAAGUGAUGCUCUUAGAGAGCUCUCUUCUCCCGGAAAGAGUGGAAGCAUAUUUUUAUUAUCGCAAGAUGACCGGUUUAUGAUCAAGACUCUUCGGAAAUCUGAAGCGAAGGUUCUUUUGCGUAUGCUUCCAUACUAUUAUCACCAUGUCCAUACUUAUGAGAACACACUCGUAACUAAAUUUUUUGGCAUCCACAGGGUGAAACCUUCCAGUGGUCGAAAGUUCCUGUUUGUAGUGAUGGGAAACAUGUUCUACACAGAACUUAGAGUCCAUCGAAGAUUUGAUUUGAAAGGUUCAUCUUUGGGCCGCUCAAAUGAAAAAAUUGAAAUUGACGUGAACACGACAUUUAAAGACUUAGAUCUGAACUAUUCAUUUCAUCUCGAGCCUACUUGGAGGGAUGCUUUGCUUAAGCAGAUUGGGACCGACAGCGAGUUUCUUAGGAAUCAGGGUAUAAUGGAUUACAGCUUGCUUCUUGGUCUGCAUUAUCGUGCUCGUCAAAGCCUAAAAAGAGGAGCAUCAUGCCAUGAAAGUCUUGUGCCAGACAAACUGGCCAUUCUUACAGAAGGUGAUUCCAUGGAGGAAAAAGCAUCUUGUAACUAUCGUGAAGGGUUGGUUUUGGUGCAAAGAGGUAGCGACCAAAAGGGUGAAAUCGUUGUUAGCCCUCACAUACGGGGAAGCCCACUGGGUUUGUCGUCUGCUUGUUUUGAGGAAGUGGAUCUUCUGAUUCCAUGCACAGCAAGGCUGCCAAUCCAACUAGGGGUGAACAUGCCCGCAAGAGCAAAGAAACAAGAAGAAGAUGGCAGCAAAUCGCUCUGCCAAGUAUAUGAUGUGGUACUCUACAUAGGGAUCAUUGAUAUUCUCCAAAAGUAUAACAUGAAGAAGAAGAUUGAGCAUGCAUAUAAGUCCAUCAAGUAUAAGUACAACCCCUUGUCAAUAUCUUCUGUUAAACCACAAUUCUACUCAGAGCGCUUCCUCAAGUUCAUUCACACCGUCUUCCCUCAAAACUCUAGCUAG